rnacentral:rRNA from 1 species
AGUUUGACAUCCGAGACCUUCCGAAAGAAGGGUGCCUUCGGGGAAUUCCGAGACAGGUGCUGCAUGGCUGUCGUCAGCUCGUGCCGUGAGGUGUUGGGUUAAGUCCCGCAACGAGCGCAACCCUAUUGCCAGUUGCUACCAGGUAAUGCUGGGCACUCUGGUGAGACUGCCCCGGUUAACGGGGAGGAAGGUGGGGACGACGUCAAGUCAUCAUGGCCCUUACGCCUAGGGCUACACACGUACUACAAUGGCGCAUACAAAGGGCAGCGAUACCGCGAGGUGGAGCCAAUCCCAAAAAGUGCGUCCCAGUCCGGAUUGCAGUCUGCAACUCGACUGCAUGAAGUUGGAAUCGCUAGUAAUUCGAGAUCAGCAUGCUCGGGUGAAUGCGUUCCCGGGCCUU